rnacentral:tRNA from 1 species
GCCGCGGUAGCUUACUUGGGAAGAGCAUCGCACGUGUAAUGCGAAGACGUGGGUUCGUAUCCCACCUGCGGCC